UUCACACCCUCCGUGUGCGGUGCCCCCUGCCGCUGCCUCUCUUGCACGUGGAAUGCCUCUCAGCACGGAGCUUUAGCAGCAAAUGUACCUCAUGCUUACAACUUCUUUGACUUGUGCAUGGUUUGUUUUCCUUAUAGCGUAUGGUAGAAGGGAGCGUGAUUCUUAGAAAAUUUUAACCUCCGAAGCGACUCCAAAAAAGAUGUAGCCCUUUCAAGAAUUUUCAGAUGUUUUACAGGUCAGGGCAUUUGGAUAGCGCCCCAAAACGUAGGAAUUUUUAUAAGCAAUCUUUCGAUUUGCCGUGAUUUUUAAAAAACGGUGGCUUUUCUUCUUGUGCGCUUCAUUCAUGAUGUGAUGAACGCAUGUCGGACAUGAGUUGCAUGAGGUGAUAUGCCUCUUAAUCUACUGUCCCGUGCUUUUAUCAGAGUGCGGUGUAUUUUAAUCUUCCUGACACAAAUAGGAUCGAAUGUUCUCUUUCUCAUUUUGUCUCUGAGAAGAUUGAAGUUCUCCAGUGGCUACCUGGAAUCAUCAUGAUUUUAAGGCUAGUUUUAUAUUUGGAAUAGUCUUUAAUUGUUCUCUGUUGAAUGCUGUAUCUAUCUUUAAUCCAAAUACACCUUGAAAUUUUCAGGACCUGUAGUUGUGGCUAUAGCGAUCCUAUAGUCGUAGCGAGGAUCUCUUUUUGUCUGUGAAUUAGAAAAAUUAUUUCUUAGUGGGUAAAAGGGGCAUAAUUCAUCUACGGUUAUAUAUUAUGGUAAUAUUGGCUCUCUGUAAUAUAUUGGUUAUACAUAUGUUUAAACAUCUAUAUCUUUCCACCCAGUUUAUAUAAAGAAGUCUCCUUUAGUAACUACUUCUUACUGACAGCUAAGCGUAUGACAUAGGAAUGCUAGCUACUGGUUUUCAUCACACAGGUAUUAAUUACUGCAUUUUUCCAUAAUACUGAUAACACCUAACACUUCACUGAUAGCUUACGUUUAUUAUAUUGGCCUACUUAAUGUCUAGGCAAAGUGGUGGGAGUUAGGUGGAUACACCCAUCUUCAGAAACCUCAGACUCAGAAAAGUUAAAUAACUUCCCGAGUCAUGCAACUAGUAAGUGACAAGCCUAAGUCCUCCGACAAAAUCCUCAUGGUCCUACCACUAGAUGACAGACUUCUCUGUAUUGAAUUUCCCCAAACAUACCAAGUAUGUUUCAUCAAGGCUCAUUGUAGUUGCCAAAAUGUAUAUACUUUUAGAAAUAAAAAGAUGGGAGUAAGGUGGAUAAAUCAUUGUAACAUUAAUUAUGAUGACAGUUACAGUUACUAUUGUUUAAUAUUGUUCCACACACAGUGGCAUAAUGAUAUAUUAAAUAUAUCGUAUUUAUAAUUCUA